rnacentral:rRNA from 1 species
AGUGAACGCUGGCGGUAGGCCUAACACAUGCAAGUCGAACGGCAGCACAGUAAGAGCUUGCUCUUACGGGUGGCGAGUGGCGGACGGGUGAGGAAUACAUCGGAAUCUACUUUUUCGUGGGGGAUAACGUAGGGAAACUUACGCUAAUACCGCAUACGACCUACGGGUGAAAGCAGGGGAUCUUCGGACCUUGCGCGAUUGAAUGAGCCGAUGUCGGAUUAGCUAGUUGGCGGGGUAAAGGCCCACCAAGGCGACGAUCCGUAGCUGGUCUGAGAGGAUGGUCAGCCACACUGGAACUGAGACACGGUCCAGGCUCCUACGGGAGGCAGCAGUGGGGAAUAUUAGACAAUGGGCGAAAGCCUGAUCCAGCCAUACCGCGUGGGUGAAGAAGGCCUUCGGGUUGUAAAGCCCUUUUGUUGGGAAAGAAAAGCAGCAGGUUAAUACCCCGCUGUUCUGACGGUACCCAAAGAAUAAGCACCGGCUAACUUCGUG